UGGGGAAUAUUGCACAAUGGGCGCAAGCCUGAUGCAGCAACGCCGCGUGAGGGACGACGGCCUUCGGGUUGUAAACCUCUUUUGGCAGGGAAGAAGCGAAAGUGACGGUACCUGCAGAAAAAGCACCGGCUAACUACGUGCUAGCAGCCGCGGUGAUACGUAGGGUGCAAGCGUUGUCCGGAAUUAUUGGGCGUAAAGAGCUCGUAGGCGGUUUGUCGCGUCUGCUGUGAAAACCCGAGGCUCAACCUCGGGCCUGCAGUGGGUACGGGCAAACUAGAGUGCGGUAGGGGAGAUUGGAAUUCCUGGUGUAGCGGUGGAAUGCGCAGAUAUCAGGAGGAACACCGAUGGCGAAGGCAGAUCUCUGGGCCGUAACUGACGCUGAGGAGCGAAAGCAUGGGGAGCGAACA
rnacentral:rRNA from 1 species